rnacentral:rRNA from 1 species
UACGUAGGGGGCAAGCGUUGUCCGGAUUUAUUGGGCGUAAAGAGCGUGUAGGCGGCCAUACAGGUCAGCUGUGAAAACUCGAGGCUCAACCUCGAGACGUCGGUUGAAACCGUAUGGCUAGAGUCCGGAAGAGGAGAGUGGAAUUCCCGGUGUAGCGGUGAAAUGCGCAGAUAUCGGGAAGAACACCCAUGGCGAAGGCAGCUCCCUGGGACGGUACUGACGCUGAGACGCGAAAGCGUGGGGAGCGAACAGG